rnacentral:rRNA from 1 species
UACGUAGGAAGCGAGCGUUGUUCGGAGUUACUGGGCGUAAAGAGUGUGUAGGCGGUGCUCUAAGUCUGGUGUGAAAUCUCCCGGCUUAACUGGGAGGGUGCGCCGGAAACUGGAGUGCUUGAGUGUGGGAGAGGAAAGCGGAAUUCCUGGUGUAGCGGUGAAAUGCGUAGAUAUCAGGAGGAACACCUGUGGUGUAGACGGCUUUCUGGACCACUACUGACGCUGAGACACGAAAGCGUGGGGAGCAAACAGG